rnacentral:rRNA from 1 species
UACAGAGGGGGCAAGCGUUAUUCGGAAUUAUUGGGCGUAAAGGGCGCGUAGGCGGCUUUGCAAGUGACGGGUGAAAUCCCUCGGCUUAACCGAGGAACUGCCUGUCAGACUGCAUGGCUUGAGACCGGGAGAGGUGAGUGGAAUUCCCAGUGUAGCGGUGAAAAUGCGUAGAUAUUGGGAGGAACACCAGUGGCGAAGGCGGCUCACUGGACCGGUACUGACGCUGAGACGCGAAAGCGUGGGGAGCAAACAGG